AUUACUGCCAAGAUUUGCAACUCGUAACUUUCCAAGCAUCUGGGAAAAACUUGUACUUCUCAGACCACAAAACUUUAAACAAAAGUUUGAGUCAGUCACUACCUAACAGUCCAGCACCAAGAUUUUCUGAACCAAAAGAAUUAUCUUUGAAUAGAAUUUUUCCUGGAUUGACUAGCUCUUUUGAAAUUGGAAACACCUUUUCUGAACCAAAAGAAUUAUCUUUGAAUAGAAUUUUUCCUGGAUUGACUAGCUCUUUUGAAAUUGGAAACACCAGUAAUGCAAAAGAUAAAGAAAAAGUAAAACUUCAGAAAACGGUUUUAUUUUCAAAAAUCGAAUUUCAAGAUGGGGAAGAAAUAAUCUUUUCCCAUAACCAAAACAGGAAAAAAUAUUUGUUUGUUUUGGGAGAAUUUAAUUUUCAAGGUUAUAAACCAUAUCACGGAGCUACCACAUGCGCCUGUUGC
rnacentral:lncRNA from 1 species